UACGUAGGGGCAAGCGUUGUCCGGAAUCAUUGGGCGUAAAGAGCGUGUAGGCGGUUCGGUAAGUCUGCCGUGAAAACCUGGGGCUCAACCCUGGGCGUGCGGUGGAUACUGCCGGGCUAGAGGGUGGUAGAGGCGAGUGGAAUUCCCGGUGUAGCGGUGAAAUGCGCAGAUAUCGGGAGGAACACCAGUAGCGAAGGCGGCUCUCUGGGACGGUACUGACGCUGAGACGCGAAAGCGUGGGGAGCAACAGG
rnacentral:rRNA from 1 species